AGGGAAUCUUCCGCAAUGGGCGAAAGCCUGACGGAGCAACGCCGCGUGAGCGAUGAAGGUCUUCGGAUCGUAAAACUCUGUUAUUAGGGAAGAACAAAUGUGUAAGUAACUAUGCACGUCUUGACGGUACCUAAUCAGAAAGCCACGGCUAACUACGUGCCAGCAGCCGCGGUAAUACGUAGGUGGCAAGCGUUAUCCGGAAUUAUUGGGCGUAAAGCGCGCGUAGGCGGUUUUUUAAGUCUGAUGUGAAAGCCCACGGCUCAACCGUGGAGGGUCAUUGGAAACUGGAAAACUUGAGUGCAGAAGAGGAAAGUGGAAUUCCAUGUGUAGCGGUGAAAUGCGCAGAGAUAUGGAGGAACACCAGUGGCGAAGGCGACUUUCUGGUCUGUAACUGACGCUGAUGUGCGAAAGCGUGGGGAUCAAACAGGAUUAGAUACCCUGGUAGUCCACGCCGUAAACGAUGAGUGCUAAGUGUUAGGGGGUUUCCGCCCCUUAGUGCUGCAGCUAACGCAUUAAGCACUCCGCCUGGGGAGUACGACCGCAAGGUUG
rnacentral:rRNA from 1 species